AAGCGUACACGGUGGAUGCCCUGGCAGUCAGAGGCGAUGAAGGGCGUGCUAAUCUGCGAUAAGCGCCGGUAAGGUGAUAUGAACCGUUAUAACCGGCGAUACCCGAAUGGGGAAACCCAGUGUGAUUCGUCACACUAUCAUUAACUGAAUCCAUAGGUUAAUGAGGCGAACCGGGGGAACUGAAACAUCUAAGUACCCCGAGGAAAAGAAAUCAACCGAGAUUCCCCCAGUAGCGGCGAGCGAACGGGGAGGAGCCCAGAGCCUGAAUCAGCAUGUGUGUUAGUGGAAGCGUCUGGAAAGGCGCGCGAUACAGGGUGACAGCCCCGUACACAAAAGCGCAUGUGCUGUGAGCUCGAUGAGUAGGGCGGGACACGUGGUAUCCUGUCUGAAUAUGGGGGGACCAUCCUCCAAGGCUAAAUACUCCUGACUGACCGAUAGUGAACCAGUACCGUGAGGGAAAGGCGAAAAGAACCCCGGCGAGGGGAGUGAAAAAGAACCUGAAACCGUGUACGUACAAGCAGUGGGAGCCCCACCACUAAGCCAGUGG
rnacentral:rRNA from 1 species